GUUAAGCGACUAAGCGUACACGGUGGAUGCCUAGGCAAUCAGAGGCGAUGAAGGACGUGCUAAUCUGCGAAAAGCGUCGGUAAGGUGAUAUGAACCGUUAUAACCGACGAUGUCCGAAUGGGGAAACCCAGUGCAAUUCGUUGCACUAUCGUUUGAUGAAUCCAUAGUCAAACGAGGCGAACCGGGGGAACUGAAACAUCUCAGUACCCCGAGGAAAAGAAAUCAACCGAGAUUCCCCUAGUAGCGGCGAGCGAACGGGGAGCAGCCCAGAGUCUUAAUCAGUAUCAGCAUCAGGAGAACGGUCUGGAAAGGCCGGCAAUAAAGGGUGAUAGCCCCGUAUCCGAAGGUGUUGGUGUUGUGACUCGACGAGUAGGGCGGGACACGUGUUAUCCUGUCUGAAUAUGGGGGGACUUCCUCCAAGGCUAAAUACUCCUGAUUGACCGAUAUUGACCCGUACCGUGAGGGAAAGGCGAAAUGAACCCCGGGCGAGGGGAGUGGAAAUAAAACCUGNNNNNNNNNNNNNNNNNNNNNNNNNNNNNNNNNNNNNNNNNNNNNNNNNNNNNNNNNNNNNNNNNNNNNNNNNNNNNNNNNNNNNNNNNNNNNNNNNNNNCUGCGUACUUUUGUAUAUGGGUCAGCGACUUAUAUUCUGUAGCAAGGUUAACCAAAUAGGGGAGCCGUAGGGAAACCGAGUCUUAACUGGGCGAAUGAGUUGCAGGGUAUAGACCCGAAACCCGGUGAUCUAGCCAUGGGCAGGUUGAAGGUUGGGUAACACUAACUGGAGGACCGAACCGACUAAUGUUGAAAAAUUAGCGGAUGACUUGUGGCUGGGGGUGAAAGGCCAAUCAAACCGGGAGAUAGCUGGUUCUCCCCGAAAGCUAUUUAGGUAGCGCCUCGUGAACUCAUCUUCGGGGGUAGAGCACUGUUUCGGCUAGGGGGUCAUCCCGACUUACCAACCCGAUGCAAACUACGAAUACCGAAGAAUGUUAUCACGGGAGACACACGGCGGGUGCUAACGUUCGUCGUGAAGAGGGAAACAACCCAGACCGCCAGCUAAGGUCCCAAAGUCAUGGUUAAGUGGGAAACGAAGUGGGAAGGCUCAGACAGCCAGGAUGUUGGCUUAGAAGCAGCCAUCAUUUAAAGAAAGCGUAAUAGCUCACUGGUCGAGUCGGCCUGCGCGGAAGAUGUAACGGGGCUAAACCAUGCACCGAAGCUGCGGCAGCGACAUGUAAAUGUUGUUGGGUAGGGGAGCGUUCUGUAAGCCUGUGAAGGUGUGCUGCGAGGCAUGCUGGAGGUAUCAGAAGUGCGAAUGCUGACAUAAGUAACGAUAAUGCGGGUGAAAAACCCGCACGCCGGAAGACCAAGGGUUCCUGUCCAACGUUAAUCGGGGCAGGGUGAGUCGACCCCUAAGGCGAGGCAGAAAUGCGUAGUCGAUGGGAAACAGGUUAAUAUUCCUGUACUGGUGAUAAUUGCGAUGGGGGGACGGAGAAGGCUAGGCUGGCCGGGCGACGGUUGUCCCGGUUUAAGGAUGUAGGUGGGUGAAUUAGGCAAAUCCGGUUCACUGUACACUGAGGUCUGAUGACGAGUCACUACGGUGGCGAAGUAGCUCAUGCCCCGCUUCCAGGAAAAGCCUCUAAGCUCUAGAUUAUCAUUAAUCGUACCCCAAACCGACACAGGUGGUCAGGUAGAGAAUACUCAGGCGCUUGAGAGAACUCGGGUGAAGGAACUAGGCAAAAUGGUGCCGUAACUUCGGGAGAAGGCACGCUGGCAUUAGGUGAAGUGGUUUACCCAUGGAGCUGAAGCCAGUCGCAGAUACCAGCUGGCUGCAACUGUUUAUUAAAAACACAGCACUGUGCAAACACGAAAGUGGACGUAUACGGUGUGACGCCUGCCCGGUGCUGGAAGGUUAAUUGAUGGGGUUAUCCGUAAGGAGAAGCUCUUGAUCGAAGCCCCAGUAAACGGCGGCCGUAACUAUAACGGUCCUAAGGUAGCGAAAUUCCUUGUCGGGUAAGUUCCGACCUGCACGAAUGGCGUAAUGAUGGCCAGGCUGUCUCCACCCGAGACUCAGUGAAAUUGAACUCGCUGUGAAGAUGCAGUGUACCCGCGGCAAGACGGAAAGACCCCGUGAACCUUUACUAUAGCUUGACACUGAACAUUGAGCCUUGAUGUGUAGGAUAGGUGGGAGGCUUUGAAGUGUGGACGCCAGUCUGCAUGGAGCCAACCUUGAAAUACCACCCUUUAAUGUUUGAUGUUCUAACGUUGCCCCGUAAUCCGGGGUGCGGACAGUGUCUGGUGGGUAGUUUGACUGGGGCGGUCUCCUCCCAAAGCGUAACGGAGGAGCACGAAGGUUGGCUAAGCAUGGUCGGACAUCAUGCGGUUAGUGCAAAGGCAUAAGCCAGCUUGACUGCGAGAGUGACGGCUCGAGCAGGUACGAAAGUAGGUCUUAGUGAUCCGGUGGUUCUGAAUGGAAGGGCCAUCGCUCAACGGAUAAAAGGUACUCCGGGGAUAACAGGCUGAUACCGCCCAAGAGUUCAUAUCGACGGCGGUGUUUGGCACCUCGAUGUCGGCUCAUCACAUCCUGGGGCUGAAGUAGGUCCCAAGGGUAUGGCUGUUCGCCAUUUAAAGUGGUACGCGAGCUGGGUUUAGAACGUCGUGAGACAGUUCGGUCCCUAUCUGCCGUUGGCGUUGGAAGAUUGAAAGGGGCUGCUCCUAGUACGAGAGGACCGGAGUGGACGCACCGCUGGUGUUCGGGUUGUCAUGCCAAUGGCACUGCCCGGUAGCUAAGUGCGGAAGAGAUAACCGCUGAAAGCAUCUAAGCGGGAAACUUGCCUUGAGAUGAGUCUUCCCUGACUCUUUAAGGGUCCUAAAGGAACGUUUAAGACGAAGACGUUGAUAGGCUGGGUGUGUAAGCGUAGCGAUACGUUGAGCUAACCAGUACUAAUGAACCGUGAGGCUUAACC
rnacentral:rRNA from 1 species